rnacentral:rRNA from 1 species
GAUGAACGCUAGCUGGAGGCUUAAUACAUGCAAGUCGAGCGGGAUUGGGUAGCAAUACCCAUGAAAGCGGCGCACGGGUGAGUAACGCGUACACGACCUACCUCUAACAGGGGGAUAGCCCUGGGAAACUGGGAUUAAUACCGCAUAUUAUUCUGAAUAAUAAAGGUUUGGAAUGAAAGCUGAGGCGGUUAGAGAUGGGUGUGCGUCUGAUUAGCUAGUUGGUAGGGUAACGGCCUACCAAGGCGAUGAUCAGUAGGGGGCGUGAGAGCGUGGUCCCCCACACGGGUACUGAGACACGGACCCGACUCCUACGGGAGGCAGCAGUAAGGAAUAUUGGUCAAUGGGCGAAAGCCUGAACCAGCCAUCCAGCGUGCAGGAAGAAGGCCCUAUGGGUUGUAAACUGCUUUUAUCAGGGAAGAAACCUCUGGAUUUACUCCGGAGCUGACGGUACCUGAAGAAUAAGCACCGGCUAACUCCGUGCCAGCCGCCGCUGUAACAC